AUACGGAGGGUGCAAGCGUUACUCGGAAUCACUGGGCGUAAAGCGCGCGCAGGCGGCUUGAUAAGUUGGAUGUGAAAGCCUACGGCUCAACCGUAGAACUGCAUCCAAAACUGUCAAGCUAGAGUCUGGGAGGGGAAGAUGGAAUUAGUUGUGUAGGGGUAAAAUCCGUAGAGAUAACUAGGAAUACCAAAAGCGAAGGCGAUCUUCUGGAACAGUACUGACGCUGAGGCGCGAAAGCAUGGGGAGCAAACAGGAUUAGAAACCCCAGUAGUCC
rnacentral:rRNA from 1 species